rnacentral:lncRNA from 1 species
GUACUUACAAAAUAUUAUUUAUUUUGGAAAACACACCUGCUUUUCUUAGCAGGCUCUGAGGCUGUCUUCUCUCUCCCUGUCCCAGAGUGCAUGGGAGGAACAGGCCAAGAGCAUCGGGACUGGGUUAGAGGCGUGAUAGCGACCCGGUGCAAGGGAUGCUGGGUAUGCUUAUUCACCUGCACUCUGAACAGGCACCCGGACCUGCCAGGCUGGGCUGCUGUAGGUCCCGUGCAGGUGACCAGUCACUCUCCCAGGCGUCGGGACUUCAUGGAACACUUACUUCCUCUGUGUCCUCACGCCCUGCUCAACCAUGUGGUUCCCUGUGUUUGCUCUGUGGUCUCCCAGGGAGUGUAUCAGAGUCGGGGUUGCCAGUGUGGAAAGGCCAGGUGAUAGCCCAGUGUGGAAAA